rnacentral:rRNA from 1 species
AUUGAACGCUGGCGGCAGGCCUAACACAUGCAAGUAGAGCGGAGAGGCGGACGGGGGAGUAAUGCCUAGGGAUCUGCCUGGGAGUGGGGGAUAACGUCGGGGAACGGGCGCUAAUACCGCAUGCGAUCAGAUCAGCCUAGGUCGUAUUAGAUGGUUGGUGGGGUAAAGGCCUACCAAGGUGAGGAUCCGUAACUGGUCUGAGAGGAUGAUCAGCCAAACUGGAACUGAGACACGGUCCAGACUCCUACGGGAGGCAGCGUUGGGGAAUCUUGGCAAAUGGGCGAAAGCCUGAUCCAGCCAGGCCGCGUGGUUGAAGAAGGUCUUCGGAUUGUAAAGCCCUUUAAGUUGGGAGGCGUUACUAACCGAAUAAGCACCGGCUAACUUCGUGCCAGCAGCCGCGGUAAUAC